rnacentral:pre_miRNA from 1 species
UUUGCGGGGACUGUUGUCUGGCUCGAGGACUCUUACACUAAUACAAUCUAUCUCCAUUAUUUUCGAUGGUCGCAUCUCAGAUCUGAUGAUGAUGAUUGUUUAGGGUUUUAGCGUCGUCGGACCAGGCUUCAUUCCCCCCAAA